rnacentral:rRNA from 1 species
UACGGAGGACGCAAGCGUUGUUCGGAAUCACUGGGCGUAAAGCGCGUGCAGGCGGCUUGGUAAGUCGGGUGUGAAAUCCCGGUGCUCAACUACGGAACUGCACCCGAUACUGCCUCGCUAGAGUCCCGGAGAGGAUGGCGGAAUUUCCGGUGUAGAGGUGAAAUUCGUAGAUAUCGGAAGGAACACCAGCAGCGAAGGCGGUCAUCUGGCCGGUGACUGACGCUGAGACGCGAAAGCGCGGGGAGCAAACAGG